AUUGAACGCUGGCGGCAGGCCUAACACAUGCAAGUCGAGCGGAUGAAGGGAGCUUGCUCCUGGAUUCAGCGGCGGACGGGUGAGUAAUGCCUAGGAAUCUGCCUGGUAGUGGGGGAUAACGUCCGGAAACGGGCGCUAAUACCGCAUACGUCCUGAGGGAGAAAGUGGGGGAUCUUCGGACCUCACGCUAUCAGAUGAGCCUAGGUCGGAUUAGCUAGUUGGUGGGGUAAAGGCCUACCAAGGCGACGAUCCGUAACUGGUCUGGGAGGAUGAUCAGUCACACUGGAACUGAGACACGGUCCAGACUCCUACGGGAGGCAGCAGUGGGGAAUAUUGGACCAUGGGCGAAAGCCUGAUCCAGCCACGCCGCGUGUGUGAAGAAGGUCUUCGGAUUGUAAAGCACUUUAAGUUGGGAGGAAGGGCAGUAAGUUAAUACCUUGCUGUUUUGACGUUACCAACAGAAUAAGCACCGGCUAACUUCGUG
rnacentral:rRNA from 1 species